ACAAUGAUGAUGUCACUGAUUCUACUGCUGGCCACCCUGGGGCUCCUUGUUCAGGGUUCAUCAGGACAAAUCAUCCUGACUCAGUCUCCUGGAUCUCAGUCUGUUGUUCCAGGACAGGCUGUCUCUCUCAAAUGUAAAACCAGUGCAAGUGUUACUAGUUCUGGUUACAGCUACCUCAGCUGGUACCUUCAGAAACCUGGAGAAGCUCCUAAACUCCUGAUUUAUGCAGCUACAACUCGUCAGUCUGGAGUUCCAGAUCGUUUUAGUGGAAGUGGAUCUGGGACUGACUUCACUCUGACCAUCAGUGGAGUUCAGGCUGAAGAUUCAGGAGUUUACUACUGUCAGCAAUAUCAAAGCUAUCCACUCACACAGUGAUACAACGUCGUACAAAAACCUCCCUCAGCUGGAGAGGAACUGAUCUGACUCAACAGCUGCACUGAAACUAAAACAGAGGUUUAUAAAAAUGCACAUUUAGCCAAUAAUUAUUCACAUUAAUGAUUGCAACACUAAAUAUUCUUUAAUAUAUAAUAUUCUAGAAGUUAUACUUCUAAUAUGUUUAUUAAAACAGAUUUUGAACCAUUCUUCUGAACAUUAAAGCUAACCUCUGUUGAAUUAUGAUGUGUGUGAUAUUCAUGAAAACACAAGG